rnacentral:rRNA from 1 species
AUUGAACGCUGGCGGCAGGCCUAACACAUGCAAGUCGAACGAGUGGCGGACGGGUGAGUAAUGUCUGGGAACCUGCCUGAUGGAGGGGUAUAACUACUGGAACCGGUAGCUAAUACCGCAUACCAUCAGAUGUGCCCAGAUGGGAUUAGCUAGUUGGUGGGGUAAAGUCUCACCAAUGCGACGAUCCCUAGCUGGUCUGAGAGGAUGACCAGCCACACUGGGAAUGAGACACGGACCAGACUCCUACGGGAGGCAGCAGUGGGGAAUAUUGCACAAUGGGCGCAAGCCUGAUGCAGCCAUGCCGCGUGUAUGAAGAGGGCCUUCGGGUUGUAAAGUACUUUCAGCGGGGAGGCGUUACCCGCAGAAGAAGCACCGGCUAACUCCGUGCCAGCAGCCGCGGUAAUAC